rnacentral:rRNA from 1 species
GGCGACCGGCAAACGGGUGCGGAACACGUACGCAACUUACCCAAAACUGGGGCAUAGCCCGGGGAAACCCGGAUUAACUCCCCAUAAGAUCAUGGUCUGGCAUCAGGCAGUGAUUAAAUCUCCGGAGGUUUUGGAUGGGCGUGCGGCCCAUUAGAUAGUUGGUGAGGUAACGGCUCACCAAGUCUGCGAUGGGUAACUGGUGUGAGAGCACGACCAGUCACACGGGCACUGAGACACGGGCCCGACUCCUACGGGAGGCAGCAGUAAGGAAUAUUGGUCAAUGGAGGCAACUCUGAACCAGCCAUGCCGCGUGGAGGAUGAAGGCCCUCUGGGU